GCAUCCGUCGGGGUUUCGCCCGCCCAGUUUGUGCCUGGGACCCGGCUGCAAGAAGUGCACUUUCUCGGAAGGAAGUCGCUGGGACUUGCCUCGGAUGUGUGCAUGCGAGCGAUUGGGGCAUUAACGACGUGCAGCCAGUAUCGGUUUGAUUAUGAUUAUCCCGCCACUGCGGACCCAUCUGUUGAAUUCCUGCUCCAAAGGCGCGCAGGUCAGCCCUCCGUGGUGAGAAGGAGAAAAGCGGUAACCUCCUGUUUGGAAUUCCAGGGUGGCAGCCAAAAGAUGAUGCCAUCAUAAAUUUGUUGGAUUCAACGGUGCUACCCGAUUCUGUUGUUCUGGUUGUGUUGAUGCGGUAAAAAGUUGACGGCUUGUAAUGUCACAAACCCAAAAUUGAGGCCUUUACGUCACAUUGGUUAAUAAAUACUAACUUCUUC